CCUACGGGUGGCAGCAGUAGGGAAUUUUGCGCAAUGGGGGAAACCCUGACGCAGCAACGCCGCGUGAUCGAUGAAGCCCUUCGGGGUGUAAAGAUCUGUCAGUGGGGACGAAAACUGACGGUACCCACAGAGGAAGCACCGGCUAACUGCGUGCCAGCAGCCGCGGUAAUACGGGGGGUGCAAGCGUUGUCCGGAUUCAUUGGGCGUAAAGAGUUCGUAGGUGGAAUGUUAAGUCUGGUGUUAAUGGUGGAAGCUGAACUGGAGUAGGGCACUGUAUACUGGCGAGCUCGAGUGCGGAAGAGGUAGGGGGAAUGCAUGGUGUAGCGGUGAAAUGCGUAGAUAUCAGGAGGAACAUCGGUUGCGUAAGCGCUUUACUAGGCCAUAAUUGACGCUGAGGAACGAAAGCCGGGGUAGCAAAUGGGAUUAGAUACCCCUGUAGUC
rnacentral:rRNA from 1 species